UGGUCCAGAAAUGUUCAUCACCGAGGAGAUCAGUGCGGAGUUCAGAGAAUCGUUGCUCGCUAGGGUUGGGUUGAUGGGCGUUGUUUUCUUAAGAACACUGCCCCCGAAGUCUUCUGAUGAUAAGGAAACUGAGUUUUCCUUCAAGGUUGAAGGCACCGCUGGUGUUAAGAGGUUUGUCAUGCAAAACUCUCAUGUGAGCAGCCUUGGAAAUGGUUUGUUUCAUGUGAAGACAGCACCUUCAAAUGAGCCUAUACCUAUUAUUAAGUACAGUUUGCUGCCGCGUUUAACUCCAUUGCCUUUGAGGAUUCGACUUGUUAAGCGUCUUAGUGGGACAUUACUUUCUGUAAUGCUGCAGUACGUUGCAAAUCCUGAUCUUCCAGUUCCAUUAACCAAUAUAACCUUUGUCCUGAAAUUGCCAGUAGACCCCACAUUAUUGAAAGUUACACCCAAAGCUGUAUUGAACCGGUCUGAGAGAGAACUGAAAUGGCAUGUUGAUGAGAUCCCACUCAAGGGUCAUCCUGGUAAGCUGAGGGCGAGGUUCCCUGUAGAUAUUAAUGAUGAUGAUGGUGGGGAAGAGCUAGUGCUUUUUGGUUACGUAAAGUUCUCAUCCCAAGGGCCUAGAUCUUUGUCUGGCAUUUCUAUGCAGCCAGCUAUAGAGGGCAAGGCCGAUUUUUAUGAGGUUGAUCACAGUGUUGGAUGCAGCGGAUUAAUGAUCUCCAAGAUAUCUAACAAGACACUUCCAGAGUUGGCAAGGGUGGCAGCUGAUGGUUUAGUUAUUUUACCUGGUUAUCUUGGUCACCAAAGGUUAAAGUGGCGGAACUAUCAAAUUUGGCUGCCCAAAAAAAAUGAUUAGCCAAGAUAUUGCCACCAGAAGACACCCAAUUCGUAGAAGCACCAAACCCCCGAUUGAAUACCAAAACCAAAUAGAAGUCUAUGAUGCAGUUUGACGAAUACAUGAAAUGGAGGCAACAAUACUGGAAUAACAUUGAUAUAGGGUUCAAGAAUCUUUGUGAGGCUUUUGCAGAGCUUCUUUGACGUUCUGAACUCGCGAGCCAUCGUCUGCCAUCGUCUUCUUCUUUCAGAAGCUUGAGGUUCCAGCCAUUGAAAGACCAGGUAUGCUUCUUCUCUUUUCUUCUUUCUUCUUUCUUCUUUCUCCUUCUUCUCUUCUUCUUUCUAUUUUUUUUCCUCUGUUUUUUGUCGAAAAGAACAGAAACAGAGGUCUGUUUUCUGCUCUAUUUUUCGAGCAAAAUACAGAGGUUUCUUCUUCUCUUAACAGAGGUCUGUUUUUGUGCUCUAUUUUUUUUGGUUCUGUUUUGGCAAAAUAACAGAGGUUGUUUCGAAACCCUGUUUUUGCAAAAUAACAGAGGUUGCUUCUUCUCUUAACAAACGUUCUGGUUUUUUCAGGCCCCGUUUUGUUUGCUUUUUGCUUCAAUUAUUGACUUAUAGAGUAGAAUUAAUUGCAUAUUGACUUGAUAAUUUUUUUUUCAAUAAAAUAGCGUUGAAAUGACUUCAUCCGAUAGUAAUAAACGAAAUGAUAUAGCUUGGAAUUAUGCUAUACAAGGCUCAUCAAGAUCCGCAAUUAAAUGUGUGUUUUGUGAAAAAACAUAUAAUGGUGGGAUAACUCGUCACAAGCAACAUUUGAUAGGUGGAUUUAAAAAUGUAGUACAAUGUCCCCUUUGUCCGCCCGAGGUUAGGGAGGAAGUAAAAGCGUUUGUUGAUAAGAAAAAUGUGACAAGAACUCAAAUGAAUUUUGAAGCAUCGGUGAAUCUAAUUGAUGAAGAUGAUGAAAUGGAUGAAGAUGGUGAAAUGAGACCUCCCCCCCNAAAAACUCAUAAGGUAUCUUCAAAUAGUUCUUGUGGGUCAUCCACGACGGCACGUACAGUGACAAAAGGUCCUCUCAAUCUUUAUUUCUCGGCAAAACAACAAGAAAAGGGAAAAGGUGAAGAAGGUCUAGAUUUAGAAGCCAAGAAGAUUUUGAGGGACCGCGCCAUAAGUGCCUUUGCAGCAUGGAUGUAUGAUUCAAGGCUUCCUUUCAACUGUGUUAACUACAAAACUUUUGAUAAAUUCAUUGAGGCCGUAGGACAAUAUGGCCCAGGAAUGAAGCCUCCUAGCUAUCAUGAAGUUAGAGUAACUCAUCUUAAAAAAGAGGUGAAGAAGAUAGACCAAAUUAUUGAGGAGCAUAAAGUGGAAUGGAACAAGUUUGGAUGUUCCAUUAUGAUGGAUAAAUGGACAGCACGGAAUG